rnacentral:piRNA from 1 species
UAUUUUGGAUAAGUAACUGGUGGCUUAA